AUACGUAGGUGGCGAGCGUUGUCCGGAAUUACUGGGCGUAAAGGGUGCGUAGGCGGUUUAUUAAGUCAGAUGUGAAAACCCAAAGCUUAACUUUGGGAUUGCAUUUGAAACUGGUAGGCUAGAGUGCAGGAGAGGUAAGCGGAAUUCCUAGUGUAGCGGUGAAAUGCGUAGAUAUUAGGAAGAACAUCAGUGGCGAAGGCGGCUUACUGGACUGUAACUGACGCUGAUGCACGAAAGCGUGGGGAGCAAACAGGAUUAGAUACCCUGGUAGUCCACGCUGUAAACGAUGAGUGCUAGGUGUAGGGGGUAUCGACACCCUCUGUGCCGGAGUAAACGCAAUAAGCACUCCGCCUGGGGAGUACGGUCGCAAGACUAAA
rnacentral:rRNA from 1 species